rnacentral:rRNA from 1 species
CGCUGGCGGCGUGCCUAACACAUGCAAGUCGAGCGGGGACAUGCGACGGAUAGGAAGAUUCGGUUGGACUUGAAGAUGCAUUGUUCUAGCGGCGGACGGGUGAGUAACGCGUGAGCAACCUGUCCCUUACAGGGGGAUAACACAGCGAAAGUUGUACUAAUACCGCAUAAGACCACGGGAGGACAUCCUUCAGGGGUCAAAGGAGGAAUCCGGUAAGGGGUGGGCUCGCGUCCGAUUAGAUAGUUGGUGAGGUAACGGCCCACCAAGUCGACGAUCGGUAGCCGACCUGAGAGGGUGAUCGGCCACAUUGGGACUGAGACACGGCCCAAACUCCUACGGGAGGCAGCAGUGGGGAAUAUUGGGCAAUGGGGGAAACCCUGACCCAGCAACGCCGCGUGAGGGAAGAAGGUUUUCGGAUCGUAAACCUCCGUCCUUGGUGAAGAGGAAGAGACGGUAGCCAAGGAGGAAGCCCCGGCUAACUACGUGCCAGCAGCCGC